GGGCACAUAGCUCAACUGGUUAGAGCACUAAGCUUAUACCUUAGCGGUUCCUGGUUCGAGUCCAGGUGUGCCCA
rnacentral:tRNA from 1 species